GCCGAGGUAGCUCAGUGGUAGAGCAAAGGACUGAAAAUCCUUGUGUCGAGAGUUCAAUUCUCUCCCUCGGCACCA
rnacentral:tRNA from 1 species